GUUUAAACGGCCGCAUAUGUGCUAAGGKAGCAYAAUAAUUUGUCUUUUAAUUGAGGACUAGUAUGAAAGGCAUAACGAAGCCCAACUGUCUCUCCCAAUCUUAAAUUUAAAUUGAUUUAGAAGUGAAAAAUCUUCUAUAACACUAGAGGACGAGAAGACCCUGUAGAGUUUUAGUAUAAGAAGUAUAAACAACACUUCAGUACUUUUAUUGGGGCAAUAGAGGAACAAAAAAAAUCCUCCUAAUUUUAAUAAUAUAUUAGAAAAGAUCCUCAAAGAGAAUAAGAAAAACUACCUGAGGGAUAACAGCGUAAU
rnacentral:rRNA from 1 species